UCCUCUUGAGUUAACUUUAUGAACAGACAUACUUACUCUCACGCCUGAGCUAUCCCCCGGCGGUCCGGCCGUCAAGCUUGUGGUGUUUGUCGUGUUUACUGUGCAGGAUCAGGACGUCUUUCGUGAUUGGGACGUGGAGAAAGAUCUUGGCGUUAACAUUGGCGCUAGAAGGAGGGGUGUUUUAGUGUCUUGAGUAUUUAUCAAUCACAAUAUUUUUAGUUGUUAUACAUCGGAAGUUAUGGCACAAAUUAGGGGGUUCUCGUUCGAGAUCCCCCGGCGAAGCCCGAAGAUAGUUGGUCUUUGCUGUUGACAAAGAGCAUGAUCAUGGCCGAAGGCAAGUAAAAGGCAUCCCGCCUAGAACUCGGCACCGAAGUGGUCAGGCUGAUGAAGAUGGUGGACGAAGCAGAUAGAGCUUUGGAGGUUCUUUUGGAGCGGAGCGAGGAUGUAGCUGAGGAAUAAAGCAUUCAAUUAUGUCCAGUCUAAAAGACGUGGUACGCCUAAAGAUGGACAACCGUGAAUUGGAAAGCAGUCUAUAUACUUUAAAGACAUGUCUCGAGGCCGUCCUUGGGAUCGNNNNNNN
rnacentral:lncRNA from 1 species